UAGAGUCGCAUGGCUUUACGAUUAAAGAUUUAUCGCUUGGGGAUAGGCUCGCGUUCCAUUAGCUAGUUGGUGAGGUAAUAGCUUACCAAGGCGAUGAUGGAUAGCUGGUCUGAGAGGAUGGCCAGCCACACUGGGACUGAGACACUGCCCAGACUCCUACGGGAGGCUGCAGUCGAGAAUCUUCCGCAAUGGGCGAAAGCCUGACGGAGCAAUGCCGCGUGUAGGAUGAAGGUCUUCGGAUUGUAAACUACUGUCACCAGGGACGAAUAAAUGACGGUACCUGGAGAGGAAGCCACGGCAAACUACGUGCCAGCAGCCGCGGUAAUACGUAGGUGGCGAGCGUUGUUCGGAUUUAUUGGGCGUAAAGGGUCCGCAGGGGGUUUGUCAAGUCUGGUGUGAAAUCCCGUGGCUCAACCACGGAAUUGCAUUGGAAACUAGCAGACUAGAGUGCUGGAGAGGUAAGCGGAAUUCCAGGUGUAGCGGUGGAAUGCGUAGAUAUCUGGAAGAACACCAAAAACGAAGGGCAGCUUACUGGACGGAUACUGACCCUCAUGGACGAAAGCGUGGGGGAGCAAACAGGGAUUAGAUACCCCUGGUAGUUCCACGCCCGUAAGACGUUUGUGAACCUUGUUUGUGGGGCGAGAUUAUAACCCCUCCCUG
rnacentral:rRNA from 1 species